rnacentral:rRNA from 1 species
CUUGCUACUGAUCUUAGCGGCGGACGGGUGAGUAAUGCUUAGGAAUCUGCCUAUUAGUGGGGGACAACAUUUCGAAAGGAAUGCUAAUACCGCAUACGUCCUACGGGAGAAAGCAGGGGAUCUUCGGACCUUGCGCUAAUAGAUGAGCCUAAGUCGGAUUAGCUAGUUGGUGGGGUAAAGGCCUACCAAGGCGACGAUCUGUAGCGGGUCUGAGAGGAUGAUCCGCCACACUGGGACUGAGACACGGCCCAGACUCCUACGGGAGGCAGCAGUGGGGAAUAUUGGACAAUGGGCGCAAGCCUGAUCCAGCCAUGCCGCGUGUGUGAAGAAGGCCUUAUGGUUGUAAAGCACUUUAAGCGAGGAGGAGGCUACUUUAGUUAAUACCUAGAGAUAGUGGACGUUACUCGCAGAAUAAGCACCGGCUAACUCUGUGCCAGCAGCCGCGGUAAUACAGAGGGUGCAAGCGUUAAUCGGAUUUACUGGGCGUAAAGCGCGCGUAGGCGGCUAAUUAAGUCAAAUGUGAAAUCCCCGAGCUUAACUUGGGAAUUGCAUUCGAUACUGGUUAGCUAGAGUGUGGGAGAGGAUGGUAGAAUUCCAGGUGUAGCGGUGAAAUGCGUAGAGAUCUGGAGGAAUACCGAUGGCGAAGGCAGCCAUCUGGCCUAACACUGACGCUGAGGUGCGAAAGCAUGGGGAGCAAACAGGAUUAGAUACCCUGGUAGUCCAUGCCGUAAACGAUGUCUACUAGCCGUUGGGGCCUUUGAGGCUUUAGUGGCGCAGCUAACGCGAUAAGUAGACCGCCUGGGGAGUACGGUCGCAAGACUAAAACUCAAAUGAAUUGACGGGGGCCCGCACAAGCGGUGGAGCAUGUGGUUUAAUUCGAUGCAACGCGAAGAACCUUACCUGGCCUUGACAUAGUAAGAACUUUCCAGAGAUGGAUUGGUGCCUUCGGGAACUUACAUACAGGUGCUGCAUGGCUGUCGUCAGCUCGUGUCGUGAGAUGUUGGGUUAAGUCCCGCAACGAGCGCAACCCUUUUCCUUAUUUGCCAGCGAGUAAUGUCGGGAACUUUAAGGAUACUGCCAGUGACAAACUGGAGGAAGGCGGGGACGACGUCAAGUCAUCAUGGCCCUUACGGCCAGGGCUACACACGUGCUACAAUGGUCGGUACAAAGGGUUGCUACCUAGCGAUAGGAUGCUAAUCUCAAAAAGCCGAUCGUAGUCCGGAUUGGAGUCUGCAACUCGACUCCAUGAAGUC